rnacentral:rRNA from 1 species
GACGAACGCUGGCGGCGUGCUUAACACAUGCAAGUCGAACGAUGAACCCGGAGCUUGCUCCGGUGGAUUAGUGGCGAACGGGUGAGUAACACGUGAGUAACCUGCCCUUGACUCUGGGAUAACUGCGGGAAACUGUAGCUAAUACCGGAUACGACCCUCGGCGGCAUCGCCAGGGGGUGGAAAGAAUUUCGGUCAAGGAUGGACUCGCGGCCUAUCAGCUAGUUGGUGAGGUAACGGCUCACCAAGGCGACGACGGGUAGGCGGCCUGAGAGGGUGACCGGCAACACUGGGACUGAGAAACGGCCCAGACUCCUACGGGAGGCAGCAGGGGGGAAUAUUGCACAAUGGGCGCAAGCCUGAUGCAGCAACGCCGCGUGAGGGAUGACGGCCUUCGGGUUGUAAACCUCUUUUAGUAGGGAAGAAGCGAAAGUGACGGUACCUGCAGAAAAAGCACCGGCUAACUACGUGCCAGCCGCCGCAGUAA